GACGAACGCUGGCGGCGUGCUUAACACAUGCAAGUCGAACGGUGAAGCGCCUUCCUUUUUGGUGGGUGUGGAUGAGUGGCGAACGGGUGAGUAACACGUGAGUAACCUGCCCCCUUCUUCUGGAUAACCGCAUGAAAGUGUGGCUAAUACGGGAUAUUCUGGGUCUGUCGCAUGAUGGGUCUGGGAAAGAUAUUGUUUCGGUGGGGGAUGGGCUCGCGGCCUAUCAGCUUGUUGGUGGGGUGAUGGCCUACCAAGGCGGUGACGGGUAGCCGGCCUGAGAGGGUGGACGGUCACACUGGGACUGAGACACGGCCCAGACUCCUACGGGCGGCAGCAGUGGGGAAUAUUGCACAAUGGGCGCAAGCCUGAUGCAGCGACGCCGCGGGAGGGAUGGAGGCCUUCGGGUUGUGAACCUCUUUCGCCAGUGAAGCAGGCCUGCCUCGUUUGUGGGUGGGUUGACGGUAGCUGGAGAAGAAGCGCCGGCUAACUACGUG
rnacentral:rRNA from 1 species